AUUGAACGCUGGCGGCAGGCCUAACACAUGCAAGUCGAACGGUAGCACAGAGAGCUUGCUCUCGGGUGACGAGUGGCGGACGGGUGAGUAACGUCUGGGAAACUGCCCGAUGGAGGGGGAUAACUACUGGAAACGGUAGCUAAUACCGCAUAACGUCGCAAGACCAAAGUGGGGGACCUUCGGGCCUCACACCAUCGGAUGGUCCCAGAUGGGAUUAGCUAGUAGGUGGGGUAAUGGCUCACCUAGGCGACGAUCCCUAGCUGGUCUGAGAGGAUGACCAGCCACACUGGAACUGAGACACGGUCCAGACUCCUACGGGAGGCAGCAGUGGGGAAUAUUGCACAAUGGGCGCAAGCCUGAUGCAGCCAUGCCGCGUGUAUGAAGAAGGCCUUCGGGUUGUAAAGUACUUUCAGCGGGGAGGAAGGCGGUGAAGUUAAUAACUUCACCGAUUGACGUUACCCGCAGAAGAAGCACCGGCUAACUCCGUGCCAGCCGCCGCCGUAA
rnacentral:rRNA from 1 species